AGAGUUUGAUCCUGGCUCAGCCUGAACGCUGGCGGCAUGGCUAAAACAUGCAAGUCGAGGGAGAAGGGGACUUCGGUCCCCGGACACCGGCGAAAGGGCGAGUAAUACGAUCGAACGUGCCCCGAGGUAGAGGAUAGCUGUGGGAAACUGCAGGUAAUACUCUAUAAGUUCCAAGGAAGAAAGCUCCGGCGCCUUGGGAGCGGCGAUCGUCCUAUCAGGUUGUUGGUGGGGUAAAAGCCUACCAAGCCGAAGACGGGUAGCGGGUGUGAGAGCAUGGCCCGCCGCAUCGGAACUGAGACACUGUCCGGACUCCUACGGGAGGCUGCAGUAACGAAUCUUCCGCAAUGCGCGAAAGCGUGACGGAGCAAUGCCGCGUGUGGGAUGAAGCGGUUACGCCGUGUAAACCACUGUCAGGACUUAGGAAGAACUGACCGAGUCCAAAGGAAGGGCCGGCUAAUCUCGUGCCAGCAGCCGCGGUAAUACGAAGGGGGCUAGCGUUGUUCGGAAUUACUGGGCGUAAAGCGUACGUAGGCGGAUCAGAAAGUAUAGGGUGAAAUCCCGAGGCUCAACCUCGGAACUGCCUUGUAAACUCCUGGUCUUGAGUUCGAGAGAGGUGAGUGGAAUUCCGAGUGUAGAGGUGAAAUUCGUAGAUAUUCGGAGGAACACCAGUGGCGAAGGCGGCUCACUGGCUCGAUACUGACGCUGAGGUGCGAAAGCGUGGGGAGCAAACAGGAUUAGAUACCCUGGUAGUCCACGCCGUAAACGAUGAUAACUAGCUGUCCGGGUUCAUGGAACUUGGGUGGCGCAGCUAACGCAUUAAGUUAUCCGCCUGGGGAGUACGGUCGCAAGAUUAAAACUCAAAGGAAUUGACGGGGACCUGCACAAGUAGUGGAGCAUGUGGUUUAAAUCGACAAUACGCGCAAAACCUUACCAACUUUUGUAUGUUACAAAAAUUAUGUUAUCACAGGAGUUGCAUGGCUGUCGUCAGUCCGUGCCGUGAGGCGUUUGGUUUAUUCCAACCAACGGACGAAACUCUUUUACAUUUGUAUAAUGUAUACCGCUAAGGAUAUCUUAGAGGAAGGUAAGAACGACGUCAAGUCCUUAUGACCCUAAUAAGUUGGGCUACUUUCAUGUGCUACAAUAAAUUUUUUCAAUUAGAAGCAAAAACGACAGUUUGAGCAAAAUCUAUAAAACUUUUUAUUCGGAUUAUUUUCUGCAACUCGAAAAUAUAAAGCUGGAAUUACAAGUAAUCGCAAAUCAGAAUGUUGCGGUGAACCCGUUCUCAGGUCUUGUACACACCGCCCGUCACGCUAUGGAAAUUUCUUUUAUCUGAAAAUUGCUUAUAAAGUUAUUCACGGUAAAAAAAUAAACUGAAGUGAAGUCGUAACAAGGUAGCCGU
rnacentral:rRNA from 1 species